GAUGAGAACGCAGCGAAAUGCGAUAAGUAAUGUGAAUUGCAGAAUUCAGUGAAUCAUCGAAUCUUUGAACGCACAUUGCGCCCGCCAGUAUUCUGGCGGGCAUGCCUGUCUGAGCGUCAUUUCAACCCUCAUGCCCCUAGGGCGUGGUGUUGGGGAUCGGCCAAAGCCCGCGAGGGACGGCCGGCCCCUAAAUCUAGUGGCGGACCCGUCGUGGCCUCCUCUGCGAAGUAGUGAUAUUCCGCAUCGGAGAGCGACGAGCCCCUGCCGUUAAACCCCCAACUUUCCAAGGUUGACCUCAGAUCAGGUAGGAAUACCCGCUGAACUUAAGCAUAUCAAUAAGCGGAGGA
rnacentral:misc_RNA from 1 species